GACACCAAAGCUCCAAACAUCACUCUCUGAACUGUACCGACCUGCAAUGCAGACAGAAAUUCAUCACACAGUAAUGUAUGCAGGUCUGUCGAGCAUGCCCACAGAGGGAUAAUCUGAGGAAUCAGUCUGCAGGAUCCAAUUUGGCAGCUUAAAGCUGCCUGUGUAUGGCCACCUUUAGGCCCAUGGCCUCUGCGAAGACAAGUCGACUGCGGUAGCCAAGACUUAACCUUAGGGCGCUUGUUCUGGAAACGAUAGAUAUAACAAUGGAAGCUUUAUACAGGAAGAUUGCUCACUUUCAUGCAUCCCUUAAAGGACUGACAUUUGGCAACAGAGUGCACUAUCUACUCUGCAUACUCACUUCCUGAAUUAAUUGCAAUCAUUGCACAAAGCUGUAGUGUUCCAGAGGAAACGUGCUAUCAUUUAUGUGUGUCAUGCCACAGAAAACUCCAUAGUGACUGCAAUAGCCUGGGUGUAGAGUGGGCACCCUGGAAUCCCAAAAGCCUUUCCAUUUCCCAGCACAUAUUAGAUCCAGGAACAAUAACUCUGAAAAAUGACUGUAUUUGGUCUAUGACUGUAAGUAUCAACUAGAAUGCAUUAGGCAAACAUUUGCUCUUAGAUAAAGAAGCUGGGUCUUUACAUGGCCUUAAAAUCUAAAUGUUUAUAUUUUCUGCAGUGCUGACAAUGAUUCCUGGAACAAUAUAGCAAAACCAUUUGAUUAAGGGUUAAUGUCCUAAGCAAAGAUUAGUCUCCCACAGUAGAUCUCUGCUCCCGGGGGCAACUAAUCUCUCUGAAAUGCCUUUCCACUGGCAACAAAGGGAAUUGCCACUGGAAAGGCCUAUGCAUUAGUUCGGUUUUUCAAAAUAGUGCAAAGUUGCCUGCAGGAGGAAGCUUUGCAAGACUUCUGAAAACUUAUGCAAUGUGUAGGUCUUUCCACUG